AGGAAGGAGUACCAUUGGUGUUUGUCAUGGACCCUCUCCCUGGAAUCUACAUUAGCCAGAGAUUAACCAACACAAGAAGAGACAGAAAGUCAAGCGCCACUCUCAGAGUCCAGGUGAACUUUGUUCCAGUGCUCCCUGUGUUCCUGUAGGACACCCGUCCUGCAGUGUUCUCUCAAUUCUUCCACCCUGAAGGGGAGUCCGUCCUAGAGAAGCUCUUGGUGAUCUUCCAGUGGAUCUCUCGUCUGCUCCGGAGCCCUCUUCUGUGAGGUCAGAGCGCUGCCAAGGCCACGUGAGCUGGCUGAAGUCUCCUGCCUGAGCCCACAGUCUCCAGGCCGCUCUUCCCCCCUGUUCAUCUUGUCUAAGCAGUUGCCUGACUUCCAAAGUCAUUUCCCCUCUAGAAUACCUGGGUCUAAUGUGACAGUGACCCUGAAGGCUUAGCACCUUCUGACUGUGAAAACAAAAAAUGAAAAAUGUAAUAAAGGCAUGACAUUUUAAAGGU